rnacentral:rRNA from 1 species
GACGAACGCUGGCGGCGUGCUUAACACAUGCAAGUCGAACGAAGAGAGAUGGAGGUUUGCUUCCUUACGUCUUCGUGGCGCACGGGUGAGUCACGCGUAAUCCCCCUCUACUUCAGUGGGGGACCACAGUUGGACACGACUGCUUAUACCGCAUACGAUCUAAUCUCGGCAUCGAGGAUAGAUGAAAGGUGGUCUCUACACGUAUGCUUUCACUGAAGGCGGGGUUUGCGUCUGAUUAGCUAGUUGGUGGGGUAACGGACCACCAAGGCGAAGAUCAGGAGGCGGACUGAGGGGAGGAACGGCCAAAACGGGACUUGGACACGGCCCAAACUCCUACGGGGAGCAGCAGUUGGGGAACCUCCGCAAUUGACGAAAGUCUGACGGGGGAACGCCGGGUGAGGGGUGACGGGUCUCGGGUUGUUAAGCUCUGGUAAUCGGGGCGAAAGGCCUGCGUGCGAAUAGAUAGAAGGAUUGACGGUACCGGAAUAGAAAGCCACGGCUAACUACGUG